GGAAUCUUCGGCAAUGGGGGCAACCCUGGCCGAGCAACGCCGCGUGAGUGAAGAAGGUUUUCGGAUCGUAAAGCUCUGUUGUAAGAGAAGAACGUGUGUGAGAGUGGAAAGUUCACACAGUGACGGUAACUUACCAGAAAGGGACGGCUAACUACGUGCCAG
rnacentral:rRNA from 1 species